rnacentral:rRNA from 1 species
UACGUAGGGGCCUAGCGUUGUCCGGAAUUAUUGGGCGUAAAGAGCUCGUAGGCGGUUCGGCAAGUCGGAUGCGAAAUCUCCACGCUUAACGUGGAGGGGCCAUUCGAAACUGCUGUGACUCGAGUCCGGUAGGGGAGUGUGGAAUUCCCGGUGUAGCGGUGAAAUGCGCAGAUAUCGGGAGGAACACCAGUAGCGAAGGCGGCACUCUGGGCCGGAACUGACGCUGAGGAGCGAAAGCGUGGGGAGCGAACAGG